UACGGAGGAUGCAAGCGUUAUCCGGAAUGAUUGGGCGUAAAGCGUCCGCAGGUGGCUAUGUAAGUCUGCUGUUAAAGAGUCUAGCUCAACUAGAUAAGAGCAGUGGAAACUACAAGGCUAGAGUACGUUCGGGGCAGAGGGAAUUCCUGGUGUAGCGGUGAAAUGCGUAGAGAUCAGGAAGAACACCAGUGGCGAAGGCGGCAUCCUGGACCAUAACUGACGCUGAGGCGCGAAAGCUAGGGGAGCAAACGGG
rnacentral:rRNA from 1 species